rnacentral:misc_RNA from 1 species
AAAAAAAAAAAAGAAAAAAAAGUGCACAAACUUAAAUAUCAUACACUUGUUUCCCAGUAAACUUGACUUCAAUAGCACUCUUGUUCUUCCCAAUUGAUCUGAAGUUCUGACCCACUCCUUCACGGCCAGGGUUCACUUUUUCAGGGUACACACCAUCUUUGGGAUGCAAAUAUUGCACCUCGCCAUUGGGGAAAACCCUGUAAAACUGGUAAUUGAUCUUGUAUUUAGAUCUCAACCUUGUACCAAGAGCUAAGCACUGUUCUUUCCUUGCCAAUUUCAACAAAUUUGGUCCUUGUCUCAUUAUAGCAGCACCACCUGUUGGCAUCUCAAAGAUCUGUUCCUUUGGUGAUUCCCAUGUGAUGACGUAGAAUUCUUCCACUUGGGCUUUUCGAAGAAGCCCACCCGUGCUGCCACCGAAGAUUGGGGAGGGUGUGUUUGGGUCCAAUUGAGGUGGGGUAAAUCCCGCUGGAGCGGGUUUUUCUUCGGUGGCAGCUGGGGCUUCUUCAGCCAUGGCACGGAUAGGUCGGGUUACUGAGACGGUGGAUUUGAGUUGCUUAGGUGUAGAGAACGAUACGAGGGAUUGUUUCCAUGGAGCGGUGGUGGAUUUGGGGACGGAGAGAGGAGGGGUGAAGAGGGAAGCUUGAGUUGCCAUAGCCAUUAUUGAGGAAUUGGGGGAAAAUUGAGCAAUGUAUUGUAUGUGUGGAGAUUGAACAAGAUUCAUAUUUG